ACGCACGCUGGCGGCGUGCUUAACACAUGCAAGUCGAACGGAAAGGCCCUGCUUUUGUGGGGUGCUCGAGUGGCGAACGGGUGAGUAACACGUGAGUAACCUGCCCUUGACUUUGGGAUAACUUCAGGAAACUGGGGCUAAUACCGGAUAGGAGCUCCUGCUGCAUGGUGGGGGUUGGAAAGUUUCGGCGGUUGGGGAUGGACUCGCGGCUUAUCAGCUUGUUGGUGGGGUAGUGGCUUACCAAGGCUUUGACGGGGAGCCGGCCUGAGGGGGUGACAGGCAACAUUGGGAGUGAGAUGCGGCCCGGACUCCUACGGGAGGCAGCAGUGGGGAAUGUUGCACAAUGGGCGGAAGCCUGAUGCAGCAACGCCGCGUGCGGGAUGACGGCCUUCGGGUUGUAAACCGCUUUCGCCUGUGACGAAGCGUGAGUGAAGGUAAUGGGUAAAGAAGCACCGGCUAACUACGGG
rnacentral:rRNA from 1 species